rnacentral:lncRNA from 1 species
AAAGGAGAGCAGGUGUUCCUGCGGUAGAGGUGAUCAAGGUGUUUGUGGCGCACGUGGAGCAGGGAGAAGAAUGAGGAACGUGCAGGAGGAGCUGGCCCUGGGAUCUGUGGAGAGGAGCCAGACACUUCGGAGUGGCACCCAGGGCGCCGGGAACCUGAGAGUGCCCUGGCCACACAACUGCACUUGCUGUGGGGAACAGAGAGUGUUCAGUGGGGACCCUUCUCUCCCCUGUACAGCAGGAGUGGGGAUGGAGGUAAAGACGGUUCCUGUUUCCACAACAGAGUCUCCACGCUGCCUCCCACUUUCAAACCAGAAACUCUCGAGUAGACAGAGAUGCCUUGUGAUCCAAUGAAGGCUGAGAAGUGUUCCCUCAAAAUUCUUAUUUGAAGCCCUAAUCCC